GCGGGCAUAGCUCAAUGGUAGAGCUCUAGCCUUCCAAGCUAGCUAUACGGGUUCGAUUCCCGUUGCCCGCUCCA
rnacentral:tRNA from 2 species